rnacentral:rRNA from 1 species
AGUGCUACGCGUGAGUUGACCGCCUGGGGAGUACGGUCGCAAGAUUAAAACUCAAAGGAAUUGACGGGGACCCGCACAAGCGGUGGAUGAUGUGGAUUAAUUCGAUGCAACGCGAAAAACCUUACCUACCCUUGACAUGGUCGGAAUCCUNGAGAGAUCUGGGAGUGCUCGAAAGAGAACCGAUACACAGGUGCUGCAUGGCUGUCGUCAGCUCGUGUCGUGAGAUGUUGGGUUAAGUCCCGCAACGAGCGCAACCCUUGUCCUUAGUUGCUACGCAAGAGCACUCUAGGGAGACUGCCGGUGACAAACCGGAGGAAGGUGGGGAUGACGUCAAGUCCUCAUGGCCCUUAUGGGUAGGGCUUCACACGUCAUACAAUGGUCGGAACAGAGGGUCGCCAACCCGCGAGGGGGAGCUAAUCCCUGAAAACCGAUCGGAAUCCGGAUUGCACUCUGUUUCUCGAGUGAAUGAAGGUGGAAACGCAAUGAAUCCCCAAAUUU